CCUACGGGUGGCAGCAGUGAGGAAUAUUGGUCAAUGGCCGGAAGGCUGAACCAGCCAUGCCGCGUGAAGGUCAGUGCCCUAUGGGCGUUAAACUUCUUUUGUGCGGGAGCAAUAAUGGUCACGUGUGGCCAGACGAGAGUACCGUACGAAUAAGCAUCGGCUAACUCCGUGCCAGCAGCCGCGGUAAUACGGGGGAUGCAAGCGUUAUCCGGAUUUAUUGGGUUUAAAGGGUGCGUAGGCUGUGAGGUAAGUCAGCGGUGAAAUGCCCCGGCUCAACGGGGUGAAGUGCCAUUGAUACUGCCUUGCUGGAAUGCGGAUGCGGUGGGAGGAAUGUGGGGUGUAGCGGUGAAAUGCAUAGAUAUCAGACAGAACACCGAUUGCGAAGGCAGCUCACGAAUCCGCGAUUGACGCUGAUGCACGAAAGCGUGGGUAUCAAACAGGAUUAGAUACCCGGGUAGUC
rnacentral:rRNA from 1 species